GAAAGAGGAGAGAGAAGGGAAAGAAAGCUUCAAGAGGAAAAGAAAGAGGAGAAUGUGCACUCUUCUAAUAGUUUCACAAGCAACUGUUCUAGCCGAGGCUCGGCGGCACUCCUGGUCCCAGCAGCCAAUGUCUGAUGGAGGGCAUUCAAGAAUAUGGUUGAGCAGGGAGAAAAAGAUUUCUGCCUACACCAGUUCGACAAACUUUGUGCAUCAAGCCACUGGCUUUGACUCAACGACCGGGAAAGAGUGAGAAGAGAGAGUGAGCAUGCUGGAGGCGGUCACACAAGGAAGGAGCACAGUCACACCGGCUGCUCUUGCUGGACUACCAAAUGGAGUUUGUGAAGAACAAUUAACAGUGCUGAGCCAUAAUUUUAUGAGGAAAGUUAAAUAUCAGAGGUACAUUUACAAAAAUACCAAGUUUCCAUAUUUAGACUUUCGUGGAUCCUAGAAUCAUCAGACCUGGAACCUGUAAGCUUAUCAAGCCCUACCCCCUUAUUUCACAGUUGAAGAAACACAUUCAAGAGACCAAUGGCCGGUCUAACGCCAGCCUCUAAUUCCUGAAGUUGGAACAGGAACUCCCUAGUAUCAUUUCAAAAUUCUUCUUAUUACAUACUAUUAUGAUAAAGUAUAUAUUUCAUCUCCUCUUCACUGCACGUAGCAAGAUAUAGAUGCUCAGACUAUAUUGAUAGGGAAAUUACUCUUUUUGCUUUUCUUCCUUUUCUUUGUAACAGAUGUAUGGAAUGCAACAGAGUCCCCUCAGCAAAUGGGAGGAUUUGAAGAUGUCACCUUCACUGCCCUCAAGGAAACAGGAUCUGGGUAGGAGUUGCCAAUAGUUGCUGCGAGACUUUGAAGAGCACUCCAACAAGGCCUAGGGUAGAAGAGCAAGGAAUGGAUUGUAGAGUACCCAGGCAAUAUUAAG
rnacentral:lncRNA from 1 species